rnacentral:rRNA from 1 species
UUGAACGCUGGCGGUAUGCUUAACACAUGCAAGUCGAACGGAAACGAUACUAGCUUGCUAGUAGGCGUCGAGUGGCGGACGGGUGAGUAACGCGUAGGAAUCUGCCUGAUAGUGGGGGAUGGCCCGAAGAAAUUCGGAUUAAUACCGCAUAAUCUAUUCGUAGUAAAGUGGGGGACUUUCGAGCCUCACGCUAUCAGAUGAGCCUGCGUAAGAUUAGCUAGUUGGUAGGGUAAAAGCCUACCAAGGCAACGAUCUUUAGCUGGUCUGAGAGGAUGAUCAGCCACAUCGGGACUGAGACACGGCCCGAACUCCUACGGGAGGCAGCAGUGGGGAAUAUUGGACAAUGGGGGCAACCCUGAUCCAGCAAUACCGCGUGUGUGAAGAAGGCCUGAGGGUUGUAAAGCACUUUCAAUUGUGAAGAAAAGUUAACGGUUAAUAACCGUUAGCCUUGACGUUAACUUUAGAAGAAGCACCGGCUAACUCCGUGCCAGCAGCCGCGGUAAUACGGAGGGUGCAAGCGUUAAUCGGAAUUACUGGGCGUAAAGCGUGCGUAGGCGGUUUAUUAAGUCAGAUGUGAAAGCCCCGGGCUUAACCUGGGAACUGCAUUUGAAACUGGUCAACUAGAGUAUGGUAGAGGAAAGUGGAAUUUCUGGUGUAGCGGUGAAAUGCGUAGAUAUCAGAAGGAACAUCAAUGGCGAAGGCAGCUUUCUGGACCAAUACUGACGCUGAGGUACGAAAGCGUGGGUAGCAAACAGGAUUAGAUACCCUGGUAGUCCACGCCGUAAACGAUGAUAACUAGCCGUUGGGGGGAUUUACCCUUUAGUGGCGAAGCUAACGCGUUAAGUUAUCCGCCUGGGGAGUACGGCCGCAAGGUUAAAACUCAAAGGAAUUGACGGGGACCCGCACAAGCGGUGGAGCAUGUGGUUUAAUUCGAUGCAACGCGAAGAACCUUACCUGGUCUUGACAUCCUGCGAACUUUCUAGAAAUAGAUUGGUGCCUUCGGGAACGCAGUGACAGGUGCUGCAUGGCUGUCGUCAGCUCGUGUCGUGAGAUGUUGGGUUAAGUCCCGUAACGAGCGCAACCCCUAUCCUUAUUUGCCAGCACGUCAUGGUGGGAACUAUAAGGAGACUGCCGGUGAUAAACCGGAGGAAGGCGGGGACGACGUCAAGUCAUCAUGGCCCUUACGACCAGGGCUACACACGUGCUACAAUGGGAAGGACAAAGAGCCGCGAAGCCGCGAGGUGUAGCUAAUCUCAGAAACCUUUUCGUAGUCCGGAUUGGAGUCUGCAACUCGACUCCAUGAAGUCGGAAUCGCUAGUAAUCGUAGAUCAGAAUGCUACGGUGAAUACGUUCCCGGGUCUUGUACACACCGC